UGGUGGUGUGAAUUGUCUGAUUAAUUCCGUUAACGAACGAGACCUCGACCUGCUAAAUAGUUCGGCGAACUCUUCGGGGUUCGGCCGCGACUUCUUAGAGGGACUAUCGGUGUGUAGCCGGUGGAAGUUCGAGGCAAUAACA
rnacentral:rRNA from 1 species